GCCACAGGAAGACUUGGAAUCGAAUUCAAGCGAGAAAGAAAAAAUUUUACUUCUUUUGGCAGUUGGUGGUGGCUCCCGUGCGGCGGUAGCCGAUGGUCGGCUUUCUUUUUCACUGUCUGGUUCUCCUUUCUCUGGCGAGGGUAGAGUGGCUAGGGUUAGGGUUCUCUGGAACGUGAUGCUUAAAUAUCCAUUUCGUGUCGAUUUGGGUCAUUCAUUCGGGAAGAUGUGGUUCUCUCUCAUCCGUUGGAUCUAUUCUAUUCGGAGAAUGAAUAUUGGCGCACGUUCAGAUUGAAUCUGACCGUUUGAUCGCGCCUAAAAAGAAAACCAUUUGGGUCGUUCACACGCGCGAGAUGAGAUCUGGACUGUCGUAUCGCUGGACACAUGGAUCGCUCGCGUAUCUUCCUACAUGGUGCUGAUGUUAGUGGCGUUGCCACGCGGUGUGCUCCAGUUCACCGGGGCGGUUGACUGAGUCGUGCCAAGU
rnacentral:lncRNA from 1 species